rnacentral:rRNA from 1 species
AUUGAACGCUGGCGGCAGGCUUAACACAUGCAAGUCGAGCGGAGAGAGGUAGCUUGCUACUGAUCUUAGCGGCGGACGGGUGAGUAAUGCUUAGGAAUCUGCCUAUUAGUGGGGGACAACAUUUCGAAAGGAAUGCUAAUACCGCAUACGUCCUACGGGAGAAAGCAGGGGAUCCUCGGACCUUGCGCUAAUAGAUGAGCCGAAGUCGGAUUAGCUAGUUGGUGGGGUAAAGGCCUACCAAGGCGACGAUCUGUAGCGGGUCUGAGAGGAUGAUCCGCCACACUGGGACUGAGACACGGCCCAGACUCCUACGGGAGGCAGCAGUGGGGAAUAUUGGACAAUGGGCGGAAGCCUGAUCCAGCCAUGCCGCGUGUGUGAAGAAGGCCUUAUGGUUGUAAAGCACUUUAAGCGAGGAGGAGGCUACUUUAGUUAAUACCUAGAGAUAGUGGACGUUACUCGCAGAAUAAGCACCGGCUAACUCUGUGCCAGCCGCCGCGGUAACAC